AUGGCUGUCCUGGUGCUGCUCCUCUGCCUGGUGACCUUUCCAAGCUAUAAGUGUGCCCUGUCCCAGGUGCAGCUGAAGGAGUCAGGACCUGGCUUGGUGCAGCCAUCACAGACUCUGUCUCUCACCUGCACUGUCUCUGGGUUCUCAUUAACUAACUAUGAUGUAAGCUGGGUCCGCCAGCCUCCAGGACACGGUCUACAGUGGAUGGGAUCAAUAGCAUGGAAUGGAAACACAUAUUAUAAUUCCGCCCUCAAUUCCCGGAUCACCAUCAGCAGGGACACCACCAAGAAUCAAGUUUUCUUAAAACUGAACAACCUGCAAACUGAGGACACAGCCAUGUAUUACUGUGCCAGAUACACAGUGAGGGUACUCCAGUGUGAGCAUGCACAAAAACCUCCCUAUGGAGACAUCUGUUACCAAUAG